rnacentral:lncRNA from 1 species
UCCACCAUUGAUAACCUUUCUCUCUUUCUCUCUAUAGGUGUACUAUGAAAAUCCCACCGCGUGUGGUUUGUUCUUUUGAUAUGAUCAUAUGGUACUGGGACUGAAUGGAUAACUAGAAGCCCAAAAAAAGUGGUGCAGAGAGAGAGAGAGAGAGAGAGACGGGGGGGGGGGGGGGGGAAGUGGUCUCAUAAAGUCUUCUAUCUUUCAACACUGCAACUGGCAAUUGAUUAAAAGCUAGGUUCUUGAAGCGUCCACCGCUGAAAAUACCAUUUUCAGUUCGAUUUAUUGGUUAAACAUGCCACCAACUCGUUAAACCAUCCACAACCACGAUCGAAUCCUCCAUUAUUUAUAGUUACAUUGCUUAUAACUUUCUUAUUCAUAAACUGCAGCAUGAAAGAGAUGAUUAUUAGAACUACCUGCCUUGGAAUGGUGAAGGCAAGAAGGAUAGAUGCGACAGCUUUCUUCAUUAUUCUGUGUGUGUUUGGGUUUGUGGGGGUGGGCUAGGCUUGGUGAUUUCACAGAUAAACAGUGACCAAAAACCCUAAUUUUCUAUUUCUGUGAUUUUCUUAAGAGGGUACAAGGGGGGAUUUGAACGUUCUUUCCAAAAAUAGGUUUGUCUUUAGUUUACAGAUCUCACUCCUGUAGGCUGUGGCCUUUAAUGUUUAUGACAAAAGCAAAUCUAUGAACCGUUGGAUAAAGAUAUUUUGGUCAAGAGCUGGAGUUAUGCGGUUAAGUCUGUCUCUGUGUGUGAGAGAGUGAGAGAGAGAGUCAUACUGACAGAAGAGAGUGAGCAUAAGCAGGCAAUUGUAUGGAGAGUAUACAUUUGUGGAUGCGUGUGCUCACUUCUCUUUCUGUCAGCUUAAUUCCCUCUCUUCCUUUCUCGUUUAUGGCUUUUGCUUUUACAUCCCCAACCCCGACGUGUUCGUUCGACUCGCAGGGAUCGAGUCUACACACUAACCCAAGACACACACUAACCCAAGACCUAAAAUUGCUUGCUUUAUUGAAAACUGAAAAGUAAAGCAAGAUGAACAGAAGUGACGGGGCUGCAAUUUCAAGAAGAUGAAGGGACUCGCAAAGAAAGCCAGCCACUUAAAAAAUGACUAUUCAAAGCUAUUCAACCACUACAGCCACACAUAUGCAGCCAUAAAUGCUCCUACCAGCUCAGGCUUCACUGUGUAUCCCAUUAUCCUAUCCUGAUAGGUCACCUGUACAAAUAAACACAAUUUUCUGUUUUACUUUCUUGGUGGAAAAAAUUGACCACUUUCUUCCAGCAGGAGAGGUUCAACCACUUUAGUUUUUGGCAUUUUCUUGAUGUGAUUUUGUUUAUCCACUUAAUUUUUAGCAUUUCUUUGAUCUUAUCCAUCAUAGUGUGAUGGAGAUUGGAAGCUCUCGAAUUUUGAUGUCUCUUCUGAAGAGAAUGAAGUGGGUUUGGAAAGGACCGUAAGGUACUAUUUUGAUUUAACGGAAAAACUUUGUGUUUUCUUGGGGCCAUCAGGCGAUUAAAAUAUAUUUAACCUAAUAUUAUACUGUUUAUCUUGCCAUUUCCGUCCACUAUCUGCAACAAAAAUACAGUGAUUUUGCUGAAAUCUUUCAUAUUCCCUCUGCCUCAACUAAACUCUAGAUCCAACCAGCUGGACCUUUUUCCUUUGUAACUAGCAAAGAAAGGGUCUUGAUCCCGUGAAUUACUUCUGAAGAAUUUAGGAAUCAUCAAAUUUUGUUUCUAAGUGCAAAAACUUGGGUUUUUAUUUCUUCGUGGUCUGAUUUAAAAGUAUGUGGUUCUUUCUAUCCUAUUUCUGGCAGAAAAUUUGAUUCUUUUAUUUAUAUUUUAUGUGAUAUAAUUUCUUAGACAAUUAACGCAGUUUUAAUUCUAUUUCUAGAUCUUGAACAUCGUAUGGUAAUGUUUACUUUCUAUUGAGUGCAAGGAACUUUGGGUGCUACCUGAACGUGGGAAGGCUUUUGGUUUUCUUCAGCGGGAAGAUACCCAGAGAAUCAUGGGCAUAUGGAGAAGAAAGGGAAUUUUCCAUGUACAGGUUUGGGACUUGCAUCAGUACUAUCUUUAUGAUGAUUUAUAUUUAUCCCUUUUUUAUAAAGUCCUUUGUCG